GGUUAAGCGACUAAGCGUACACGGUGGAUGCCCUGGCAGUCAGAGGCGAUGAAGGACGUGCUAAUCUGCGAAAAGCGUCGGUAAGGUGAUAUGAACCGUUACAGCCGGCGAUGUCCGAAUGGGGAAACCCAGUGCAAUUCGUUGCACUAUCGUUAACUGAAUACAUAGGUUAACGAGGCGAACCGGGGGAACUGAAACAUCUAAGUACCCCGAGGAAAAGAAAUCAACCGAGAUUCCCCCAGUAGCGGCGAGCGAACGGGGAGCAGCCCGGAGUCUGAAUCAGCUUGUGUGUUAGUGGAAGCGUCUGGAAAGUCGCAGGGUACAGGGUGAUACUCCCGUACACUAAAACACACAGGUUGUGAACUCGAAGAGUAGGGCGGGACACGUGGUAUCCUGUCUGAAUAUGGGGGGACCAUCCUCCAAGGCUAAAUACUCCUGACUGACCGAUAGUGAACCAGUACCGUGAGGGAAAGGCGAAAAGAACCCCGGCGAGGGGAGUGAAAAAGAACCUGAAACCGUGUACGUACAAGCAGUAGGAGCCCACUAGUUGGGUGACUGCGUACCUUUUGUAUAAUGGGUCAGCGACUUAUAUUCUGUAGCAAGGUUAACCGUAUAGGGGAGCCGCAGGGAAACCGAGUCUUAACUGGGCGUUAAGUUGCAGGGUAUAGACCCGAAACCCGGUGAUCUAGCCAUGGGCAGGUUGAAGGUUGGGUAACACUAACUGGAGGACCGAACCGACUAAUGUUGAAAAAUUAGCGGAUGACUUGUGGCUGGGGGUGAAAGGCCAAUCAAACCGGGAGAUAGCUGGUUCUCCCCGAAAGCUAUUUAGGUAGCGCCUCGUGAAUUCAUCUUCGGGGGUAGAGCACUGUUUCGGCUAGGGGGUCAUCCCGACUUACCAACCCGAUGCAAACUACGAAUACCGAAGAAUGUUAUCACGGGAGACACACGGCGGGUGCUAACGUCCGUCGUGAAGAGGGAAACAACCCAGACCGCCAGCUAAGGUCCCAAAGUCAUGGUUAAGUGGGAAACGAUGUGGGAAGGCCCAGACAGCCAGGAUGUUGGCUUAGAAGCAGCCAUCAUUUAAAGAAAGCGUAAUAGCUCACUGGUCGAGUCGGCCUGCGCGGAAGAUGUAACGGGGCUAAACCAUGCACCGAAGCUGCGGCAGCGACACUAUGUGUUGUUGGGUAGGGGAGCGUUCUGUAAGCCGUUGAAGGUGGCCUGUGAGGGUUGCUGGAGGUAUCAGAAGUGCGAAUGCUGACAUAAGUAACGAUAAUGCGGGUGAAAAACCCGCACGCCGGAAGACCAAGGGUUCCUGUCCAACGUUAAUCGGGGCAGGGUGAGUCGACCCCUAAGGCGAGGCCGAAAGGCGUAGUCGAUGGGAAACAGGUUAAUAUUCCUGUACUUGGUGUUACUGCGAAGGGGGGACGGAGAAGGCUAUGUUGGCCGGGCGACGGUUGUCCCGGUUUAAGCAUGUAGGCGGAUGUUCCAGGUAAAUCCGGAACGUUACUAACGCUGAGGUGUGAUGACGAGGCACUACGGUGCUGAAGUGACAAAUGCCCUGCUUCCAGGAAAAGCCUCUAAGCAUCAGGUAACACCAAAUCGUACCCCAAACCGACACAGGUGGUCAGGUAGAGAAUACCAAGGCGCUUGAGAGAACUCGGGUGAAGGAACUAGGCAAAAUGGUGCCGUAACUUCGGGAGAAGGCACGCUGAUGGUAAGUGAAGUGACUUGCUCAUGGAGCUGAAAUCAGUCGAAGAUACCAGCUGGCUGCAACUGUUUAUUAAAAACACAGCACUGUGCAAACACGAAAGUGGACGUAUACGGUGUGACGCCUGCCCGGUGCCGGAAGGUUAAUUGAUGGGGUUAUCCUCACGGAGAAGCUCUUGAUCGAAGCCCCGGUAAACGGCGGCCGUAACUAUAACGGUCCUAAGGUAGCGAAAUUCCUUGUCGGGUAAGUUCCGACCUGCACGAAUGGCGUAAUGAUGGCCAGGCUGUCUCCACCCGAGACUCAGUGAAAUUGAACUCGCUGUGAAGAUGCAGUGUACCCGCGGCAAGACGGAAAGACCCCGUGAACCUUUACUAUAGCUUGACACUGAACACUGGUCCUUGAUGUGUAGGAUAGGUGGGAGGCUUUGAAGUGUGGACGCCAGUCUGCAUGGAGCCAUCCUUGAAAUACCACCCUUUAAUGGCUGGUGUUCUAACGUGGGCCCGUGAUCCGGGUUGCGGACAGUGUCUGGUGGGUAGUUUGACUGGGGCGGUCUCCUCCUAAAGAGUAACGGAGGAGCACGAAGGUCAGCUAAUCCUGGUCGGACAUCAGGAGGUUAGUGCAAUGGCAUAAGCUGGCUUGACUGCGAGCGUGACGGCGCGAGCAGGUGCGAAAGCAGGUCAUAGUGAUCCGGUGGUUCUGAAUGGAAGGGCCAUCGCUCAACGGAUAAAAGGUACUCCGGGGAUAACAGGCUGAUACCGCCCAAGAGUUCAUAUCGACGGCGGUGUUUGGCACCUCGAUGUCGGCUCAUCACAUCCUGGGGCUGAAGUAGGUCCCAAGGGUAUGGCUGUUCGCCAUUUAAAGUGGUACGCGAGCUGGGUUUAGAACGUCGUGAGACAGUUCGGUCCCUAUCUGCCGUGGGCGCUGGAGAAUUGAGGGGGGCUGCUCCUAGUACGAGAGGACCGGAGUGGACGCAUCACUGGUGUUCGGGUUGUCAUGCCAAUGGCAUUGCCCGGUAGCUAAAUGCGGAAGAGAUAAGUGCUGAAAGCAUCUAAGCACGAAACUUGCCCCGAGAUGAGUUCUCCCUGACUCCUUGAGAGUCCUGAAGGAACGUUGAAGACGACGACGUUGAUAGGCCGGGUGUGUAAGCGCAGCGAUGCGUUGAGCUAACCGGUACUAAUGAACCGUGAGGCUUAACCUU
rnacentral:rRNA from 1 species